GAUGAAGAACGUAGUGAAAUGCGAUAAGUAAUGUGAAUUGCAGAAUUCAGUGAAUCAUCGAAUCUUUGAACGCACAUUGCGCCCCUUGGUAGUCCGAGGGGCAUGCCUGUUCGAGCGUCAUUUUGACCACUCCCGCUUGCGGGGUCUUGGGCCUUCGCCUCUGGGCGGGCCUUAAAAUCAGUGGCGGUGCCGUCCGGCUCUAAGCGUAGUAAAUCUCCUCGCUAUAGGGUUCCGGAGGGAUGCUGGCCAACAACCCCCAACUUUUAAGGUUGACCUCGGAUCAGGUAGGGAUACCCGCUGAACUUAAGCAUAUCAAUAAGCGGAGGA
rnacentral:misc_RNA from 1 species